UGUUACGGUUUCCCAGAUUUC
rnacentral:piRNA from 1 species